rnacentral:rRNA from 1 species
CGGUUGAUCCUGCCGGAGGCUACCACUAUCAGGGUUCGACUAAGCCAUGCGAGGCAUUGUCGCAAGCAAGCCGAAUUGCUCAGUAACACGUAGUUAACCAACCCUUAGGUGGAGGAUAACUGUGGGAAACUGCAGAUAAUCCUCCAUAGGUGAUGAGGGCUGGAAGGCCUCUUCACCGAAAGCGCAAGGCGCCUAAGGAUGGGACUGCGGUGGAUUAGGUUGUUGUUAGGAUAAAUGCCUAACAAACCUAUAAUCCGUAGGGGUCGUGAGAGCGAUAGCCCCGAGAUGCACUCUGAGACAUGAGUGCAGGCUCUACGGAGCGCAGCAGGCGCGAAACCUUCACAAUGCACGAAAGUGUGAUGAGGGAACCCUGAGUGGACUCGCUUUGCGAGUCCUUUUUCCGAGUGUAAAAAGCUCGGCGAAUAAGUGGUGGGUAAGACGGUUGCCAGCCGCCGCGGUAAUAACCGCGCCACAAGUGGUAGUCACGUUUAUUGGGCCUAAAGCGUCCGUAGCCGGCCUGAUAAGUCUCUGGUGAAAUUCUACAGUGCUACGCAUUCUUGACCUUUGUGUUCUUCGAACACAAAAUCCUACAGUAAACUGUAGGGCUUGCUGGGGAUACUAUCAGGCUUGGAGCCGGGAGAGGUUGAGGGUAUUUCAUGGGUAGGAGUAAAAUCCUUUAAUCCAUGAAGGACCACCUGUGGCGAAGGCGCUCAACUGGAACGGGCUCGACGGUGAGGGACGAAAGCUAGGGGAGCAACCGGGAUUAGAUACCCCGUUAGUCCUAGCUGUAAACUAUGCCCGCUUGGUGUUGCAGUUUCUUUGGGAAACUGCAGUGCCGUAGCGAAGGUGUUAAGCGGGCCGCCUGGGGAGUACGGUCGCAAGGCUGAAACUUAAAGGAAUUGGCGGGGGAGCAC